AUGCAGGCCAUCAAGUGGUUAACAUAGAGACAUUAUUUAAAUCCUCGGGACUGGAUGAGAUUACCAAGGGAGGAAAUGUAGAUGAACAAGAAGAGAAAGGACUGAGUUCUGGAGCACUACAAAUUUAAGAGACUGGGGAAAAGAGGAGAAACCCAGAA
rnacentral:lncRNA from 1 species